AGAGUUUGAUCCUGGCUCAGAGUUAACGCUGGCAGCGUGCAUAACACAUGCAAGUCGAGCGGGAUACGCGGCGUAGCAAUACGUCGUGUGUCUAGCGGCAGACGGGUGAGUAACACGUGAGAAAUCUGCCUCCAGGCGGGGAAUAACGCACCGAAAGGUGCGCUAAUGUCCCGUACUAUCCCUAGAAGGCAUCUUCAGGG
rnacentral:rRNA from 1 species